UACGGAGGAUGCAAGCGUUAUCCGAAAUGAUUGGGCGUAAAGCGUCCGCAGGUGGCAAUGUAAGUCUGCUGUCAAAGCGUCUGGCUCAACCAGAUAAAGGCAGUGGAAACUACAUAGCUAGAGUAAGGUAGGGGUAGAGGGAAUUCCUGGUGUAGCAGUGAAAUGCGUAGAUAUCAAGUGGAACACCAGUGGCGAAGGCGAGUCCCUGGACAACUCCUGACACUGAGGCACGAAAGCUAGGGGAGCAAACAGG
rnacentral:rRNA from 1 species